rnacentral:lncRNA from 1 species
ACUUUAAUCUGCCACAAUCCGAAAUUGUUCUUGCCGUCGAACUUCUCGAUUUCAAAUUUCGUGGCCAUCUUCGUCGAUCUUUCCCUCGGAUCGGUAACCUUCAGCUCUGAUACCAAUUGUUGGGAAUCUGGUACUCGCCUAGCUACUGGAUCUUGUGAAUCCGCAAUCUGCUCCUAUACCGACUGCUGUGGAUCCGGUAUCGAUUGUUAGGAUUCCGCAACGAAAGCGUCGAAUUGGAUUUUUACCAUAAACCCGUCUCCUCAGCAAAAUCCGAUACAAUCACAAAAGAGAAAAAUAUGUAGGUAAAAUAAGUUUCAUUAAAUAAGAGAAGAUUACACCUGACUUCUCUUCUGCAAAAGAGUAGCUACAACCCGAGCCCUCCUUUUGAAUCUUUUCUAUCCUUAUCUCGUCUUCUAUAAUCCCACAAAGAAGAUAAUCCUCCACGCGCACCCGUGCACUAGGUGCACUCAACUCAUUGGAUAACUCUCUCUUUUUCUCUCAGGUACGGCACACCCCAAGAGGCUUUCUCUCUGUUGGCCGUACUACCCCCAAGCCUCUAAUGCAUUAUAUAUAAUACUCAACCAAAGAUGUACCCCAAUCCUAUUAUAUUUAGAAUUUCUACUCCAAUAAAUAUUUAAAUCUUAAUUAAUUUAUCUUCAAUAGAUUUAAAUAUUUAUCCUAAUCUAAUUAGAUUUAUAUCCUAAUUAAUAUUUAAAUCUUAAUUUAUCUCCAACAGAUUUAAAGUAUUAAUUCUAAUCCAAAUAGAAUUCAACUACAAUUCUAACCAAAUCUUAACAACUAGUGUUAUAUGAUUUUGGUUAGAUCUGUACUAGAAUCCUAAUUAAAUUAGAAUGAAUAUUUAAAUUUAUUAAAGAUAAAUUAAUUUAGAUUUAGAUAUUAAUUAGAGUGAAAUU